rnacentral:misc_RNA from 1 species
GAUGAAGAACGUAGCGAAAUGCGAUAAGUAAUGCGAAUUGCAGAAUUCAGUGAAUCAUCGAGUCUUUGAACGCACAUUGCGCCCUCUGGUAUUCCGGAGGGCAUGCCUGUCCGAGCGUCAUUGCUGCCCUCAAGCACGGCUUGUGUGUUGGGCUCCGUCCCCCGAUCCCGGGGGACGGGCCCGAAAGGCAGCGGCGGCACCGCGUCCGGUCCUCGAGCGUAUGGGGCUUUGUCACCCGCUCUGUAGGCCCGGCCGGCGCUUGCCGAUCAACCAAAUUUUUAUCCAGGUUGACCUCGGAUCAGGUAGGGAUACCCGCUGAACUUAAGCAUAUCAAUAAGCGGAGGA